rnacentral:rRNA from 1 species
UGCUUUACACAUGCAAGUCGAGCGGCAGCGCGGGGGCAACCCUGGCGGCGAGCGGCGAACGGGUGAGUAAUGCAUCGGAACGUACCCAUUUGUGGGGGAUAACUAAUCGAAAGGUUAGCUAAUACCGCAUAAGUCCUGAGGGAGAAAGCAGGGGAUCGCAAGACCUUGCGCAGAUGGAGCGGCCGAUGCCGGAUUAGCUAGUUGGUGAGGUAAAGGCCCACCAAGGCGACGAUCCGUAGCUGGUCUGAGAGGAUGAUCAGCCACACUGGAACUGAGACACGGUCCAGACUCCUACGGGAGGCAGCAGUGGGGAAUUUUGGACAAUGGGGGCAACCCUGAUCCAGCCAUUCCGCGUGAGUGAAGAAGGCCUUCGGGUUGUAAAGCUC